rnacentral:tRNA from 1 species
GCUCUGGUGGUGGAAUUGGUAGACACGCUAUCUUGAGGGGGUAGUGUCCAUAGGAUGUGCGAGUUCGAGUCUCGCCCAGAGCACCAUAU